AGUGGCGCACGGGUGAGUAGCGCGUGGGAACCUGCCCUUUUGUGGGGGAUAACCGAGGGAAACUUCGGCUAAUACCGCAUGCACCCCUGGGGCGACCUGGGGGGAAAGAUUUAUCGCAGGAGGAGGGGCCCGCGUCGGAUUAGGUAGUUGGUGGGGUAACGGCCUACCAAGCCGAUGAUCCGUAGCUGGUCUGAGAGGAUGAUCAGCCACACUGGGACUGAGACACGGCCCAGACUCCUACGGGAGGCAGCAGUGGGGAAUAUUGGACAAUGGGCGCAAGCCUGAUCCAGCAAUGCCGCGUGAGUGAUGAAGGCCUUCGGGUUGUAAAGCUCUUUCGCCCGCGACGAUGAUGACGGUAGCGGGAGAAGAAGCCCCGGCUAACUUCGUGCCAGCAGCCGCGGUAAUACGAAGGGGGCGAGCGUUGUUCGGAAUCACUGGGCGUAAAGGGCGCGUAGGCGGCUCUGUUUGUCGCGUGUGAAAGCCCCGGGCUCAACCUGGGAGGUGCGCGCGA
rnacentral:rRNA from 1 species